AGAACUUGCAAUAUAGCAGGGUGUUCAAAUUCUCAUUUCCUUCACUGUAGAAGUCAGACCAAAGACAAUACAUUAAGAAUGGCUGAAAAUCAUUAACGUUGGAUAAUGGGUGUAAUGCAGCCUGAUGGGAGCACAAGCCAGUGCAAUCUUUAGGACGGUCCCAAGUCCGGAUAAAUGCAGAGGGUUGCGUCAGUUGUGACCCGGGUUAACAACGUUCACAAUGGCACCGUUAACCUGCAGUGCUUCGGUGGAAGUCAGCUACUCAACUACAGCCCUUCAACGGCGGUGGCGCUGCGGGCCACACAGACUACCUGCUGGCCAAAAGGCUUCCAAGAGGAGAGUUAGGAGAGUCCUGAGGGGGGAAAAAAUAUCUUAAACUUUGUGACGCCGGCCUCAAAACAUGAGGCCCAUAACAUUAUUUUUUGUGGACUGGACUCCAAGUUCAAAGUGGAGAGACAGUACAGGAGGGGUCUUACCACGCAGCCUUUGUGUUGAGCUGAUGCUCAAUUACGGUUGGAGGAAAGAUGUUGCAGGAAGCAUCUUCGGCACAAGAGGUUGACAUCGAACCGGCAGAUGCUGAAUCUCCAUCUUUGGUACAUUCCAAAAGUUGCCAGACUGAUUAAGUGCCUUUUCAUGAGAAAGGAACACGUACCUUUCCGGCAGCAGAGAGGAUACUGUAACAACAACCUGUAUUUCAACCUCAUGUGGCCUCAAGAUGUUCAUAUUGAAAGACCAAAUAAGCAUUCAAUGAAAAUGUCAAGAGACACAUAGUUCUACACAAUAUAAGUAUACAGUUAAAAAAAUGCAAUAAUUUUAGUUCUGUGGUGUAUGUUUACUUCAUAAACAAACAUAUACAGCAACAUUUACACAAAGACAAAACAAAAAAAUUCUGAACGUAGACCUUUUAAAUCCUGAGGACUCUUGGCCAUCUGCCAUCAAUCUUAGACACACAGCGCGAUGGUAGUGGCACGCGUUUUUUUCUACCGCUAAUUCCCCAACACCAUCUCACUAUGAUGAGCUCGCAAACCUGAAAAUAAGAAAAUAUGUUCAUAUGACAAUUUUCCAGAAUGGGACUUCGUUUGAACAAGCAUUGAUUGGACAAAUACUGGUUUUUAGCAGAAAUAAAAAUAAUGUAAAUAAUUCUUUAUUUAAAAAAAACUGAAUGUAAAUGGCAAAAAGCUGGGCUGAUUUGGAUAAGUAUUGAUAUAAAUAAUUUUUCAGAUAGGUCUUACUCAUGUUGUGGAAAAUCCAGUCACUGCCGAUACUGUUGCCUGAAUUGGAGAUCGGCAACCUCAAGUACUCAUGAGUUCAGACUGCUGGCCAUAAACCUGGGUGCACUGCAGCAGAUUGUCUGGAUAAUCUCCCAUCUUCUGGUGAAUGUGUUGACUCAUGCCAACAACAACUUUCUUCUGUUUUUUACAUGGGUAUGCAGGAUUUACAUGCACACCUGUGGAAGUAAUGAAAAACAUUUAAAAAUCUGUUUACAUUCACAAACCUCUCAAAGACCCAUAUGAGUCCAGUACACAGAACUAUCCACCCCAUUAACAUUUACAUUUUAAGCAUUUAGUGCCUGAACAAAACCACAAGAUACCUGUUUACACCUUUCAGUAUAAAGUUUAGUGGUCAUGACAUCUUGGGAAAAUUGUAACUAAAAUGGGGAUGGAUGGUUCUGGGUACUGUUUGGUUAUGUUAUCAUUUUACCGCCUGAAAUUACAUUUAUGACGAAGCAAGUUAUGACCAGUUACGACUAUUGUUCUCAAAUUACUGUGACGUUUUAAACGGAUUUCAUUCGUUAAAAUCCUUAUUUGUGAAAAUAUACCACCUUAGACUAAAUACACGGCAUUUGCAUAAUUUUAAAAUAAGACCAAAAACUUCAUAUGUAGUACAUUCGGGAUAUCUAAUCCAUUACUAUUUUUCAGUUUAUGGAGAAAUAAACAAAACAACUUCACAAAUGCUAACCAGUUAAUGUUUCCAACACGAGCCAUGUUGUCUUCCCUGGGUCAAAGGGCUUGCUCUGCAUCUUCAUCACCAGCUAUUUCGUCUGCAUUGGAACAUGUGUUAUGUCUAACUGGCUCAAAUUGAUAACCUUUAACGCCUUUAUAAAGCUCGUAUGCUUCACGGUAUUCGUGGGACCAUUCAGAAUCAUGUUCAUCGCUCGAAUUAUCGAAAAAAUUAUUAAUGUUCUUACUAUGGAGUCAAAUGGCUGCCAUGAUGUUUAGCUCAACUUCUGAUGUCACGUGCCUUCUCAAGUUUUUCCGCUGUGUGGUUGUGUAUUUCCGGUGACUCCAGCAAUGUGCGAUCAA